rnacentral:hammerhead_ribozyme from 1 species
GUACUGCUGAUGUGUCACAAAAUAGGACGAAACGGCCGUCCAGUGC